UACAGAGGUCUCAAGCGUUGUUCGGAAUUACUGGGCGUAAAGCGCGCGCAGGCGGGAAGAUAAGUCUGGAGUGAAAUUCCGGGGCUCAACUCCGGAGCUGCUUUGGAUACUGUUUUUCUAGGGACCGGUAGAGGCCGGUGGAAUUCCCGGUGUAGCGGUGGAAUGCGUAGAGAUCGGGAGGAACACCAGUGGCGAAGGCGACUACCUGGCCUGUUCUUGACGCUGAGGCGCGAAAGCUAGGGGAGCAAACGGG
rnacentral:rRNA from 1 species